GACGAACGCUGGCGGCGUGCUUAACACAUGCAAGUCGAACGGAAAGGCCCUGCUUUUGUGGGGUGCUCGAGUGGCGAACGGGUGAGUAACACGUGAGUAACCUGCCCUUGACUUUGGGAUAACUUCAGGAAACUGGGGCUAAUACCGGAUAGGAGCUCCUGCUGCAUGGUGGGGGUUGGAAAGUUUCGGCGGUUGGGGAUGGACUCGCGGCUUAUCAGCUUGUUGGUGGGGUAGUGGCUUACCAAGGCUUUGACGGGUAGCCGGCCUGAGAGGGUGACCGGCCACAUUGGGACUGUGAUACGGCCCAGGCUCCUACGGGAGGCAGCAGUGGGGGAUGUUGCACAAUGGGCCGAAGCCUGAUGCAACAACGCCGCGUGCGGGAUGACGGCCUUCGGGUUGUAAACCGCUUUCGCCUGUGACGAAGCGUGAGUGACGGUAAUGGGUAAAGAAGCACCGGCUAACUACGUG
rnacentral:rRNA from 1 species